rnacentral:rRNA from 1 species
AGUGAACGCUGGCGGUAGGCUUAACACAUGCAAGUCGAACGGCAGCACAGUAAGAGCUUGCUCUUACGGGUGGCGAGUGGCGGACGGGUGAGGAAUACAUCGGAAUCUACUUUUUCGUGGGGGUUAACGUAGGGAAACUUACGCUGAUACCGCAUACGACCUACGGGUGAAAGCAGGGGAUCUUCGGACCUUGCGCGAUUGAAUGAGCCGAUGUUGGAUUAGUUAGUUGGCGGGGUACAGGCCCACCAAGGCGACGAUCCGUAGCUGGUCUGAGAGGAUGAUCAGCCACACGGGAACUGAGACACGGUCCAGACUCCUACGGGAGGCAGCAGUGGCGAAUAUUGGACAGUGGGCGCGAGCCUGAUCCAGCCGUACCGCGUGGGUUAAGAAGACCUUCGGGUUGUAAAGCCCUUUUGUUGGGAGAGAAAAGCAGCAGGUUAAUACCCCGCUGUUCUGACGGUACCCAAAGAAUAAGCACCGGCUAACUUCGUG